UACAGAGGGUGCGAGCGUUGUCCGGAAUCACUGGGCGUAAAGGGCUCGUAGGCGGUCUGUCGCGUCGGGUGUGAAAGACCGGGGCUUAACCCCGGUUCUGCAUUCGAUACGGGCUAGCUAGAGUGUGGUAGGGGAGAUCGGAAUUCCUGGUGUAGCGGUGAAAUGCGCAGAUAUCAGGAGGAACACCGGUGGCGAAGGCGGAUCUCUGGGCCAUUACUGACGCUGAGGAGCGAAAGCGUGGGGAGCGAACAGG
rnacentral:rRNA from 1 species